ACCUCUAGUAGGUAUGAAUACCAGAAACUCCUCAUUUUCAGGUGCUGAAGAAUUUUCUUGACACCGCUGAAGCUGAAGUUAGGUCACUUAUCUCCUUGUAUUCUGAAGUGGGAAGAAAUGCAGAUUCAUUGUCCCAGUACUUUGGGGAGGAUCCAGCUCGGUGCCCCUUUGAGCAAGUGACACAAAUCUUGGUUGUCUUUGUUAAGACGUUCAAUAAGUCACGAGAUGAGAAUGAAAGGCAGGCUGAUGCUGAAAAGAAGAAAUUGGAGAAGGAAGCCAUGAAAGAACGGACAGCAGCUAAUUCAUCCACAAGGAGAGAUGGUGUUCAACAGAGCAGCAUGAAACAGCAUGAAACCCACAUAAAUUCUUAGGAAGAUGCAAGAGGCAGAUUGCUUCUUGAAUAUGUCAGCCCAGCACUUUUGGGCUGACAUUAAUCGAUGGAGGUUGACUCAUGCAUUCAAAUUGCACGAACCCAAAAUCAGACAGCUGAAGUGGCAAGUUGCUGCUUUUCUGGGAAUCACUUUGGCAGUGCAGAUGUGUCUCACAAUGCACAGUUUACUUGUCCAAAAUCACGCAAUUUCAGGGAAAGUUGACACAUUUUGCUAUUAUCAGGUACAGCCUUUGCCUUUCAUGUAAAUCAAUGACAUUAUGGCCUGCUCAAAUUGUAUUCAAUCUGUAUAUAAUUUAGGAAAGGCACACUUAGCAUUAGCAGAGCGGAAGCCCUCUCCCCUUCUUCCCAACAAAAUGUCUCAUGCUAUAUAGAUUUAAAAUUUUGUAGCAGCUGCAAUAGUUGCAAGUUUAGCCGGUUGAUUCUUUUCUUUCA